rnacentral:rRNA from 1 species
UGACCUACGGGACGCAGCAGUGGGGAAUAUUGGACAAUGGGGGGAACCCUGAUCCAGCGACGCCGCGUGAGUGAAGAAGUAUUUCGGUAUGUAAAGCUCUAUCAGCAGGGAAGAAAAUGACGGUACCUGACUAAGAAGCCCCGGCUAACUACGUGCCAGCAGCCGCGGUAAUACGUAGGGGGCAAGCGUUAUCCGGAUUUACUGGGUGUAAAGGGAGCGUAGACGGCUGCGCAAGUCUGAAGUGAAAUCCCGGGGCUCAACCCCGGGACUGCUUUGGAAACUGUGUAGCUAGGG